GGCGCUUUGGCUGAGUGGUUAUAGCGAUAGACUAGAAAUCUAUUCCCUUCGGGGGCAAGAGUUCGAAUCUCUUAGGCGUCG